ensembl:snoRNA
AGCACUUAGGUGUGUUUUAGUUUUAGUGGCAGACAAACUCAGGCAAGGCAAGUACAAAAUAAAUCCUUUCUUGCUACCCAGAAUUCAUUACUCACUGUGAAUUUUGAUACAUACAAGGCAUAUGAUACA